UGAAGCAGCUUUAUAGCCGGACAUCAGAGGCCUUCCAAGUUCCCCUUUUCAGCAACAGAGGCCUAGGAUGCCAUUCUACCUGUGCUGCAUUGUGUGGCUGACCACUCCUAGGAUCUCAGCAGAAUCAUUACACAGUUUCAGAAGCCACAAUUGCCUGGCAUGCUGUCUGGUCAUGAUGCGUGGCUACAAUGAAGUCCUGCUGACCCCAAGCAUGGUGUGAAAUGAAGAAAUGGCACUCCACAUCCAUAGAGAGCUUGAUUUCCCCUGUUUCAUGCUUACUUGUUGGCAUAGCCAGUCUGUUAGCUUAAUUUUUGGUUCUUCCCUAUUGAAUGCUCAAGAAAGGCACCAAAACUGUCAUUCAUUGAAAAAAAAGUUGUUUGCAGACACUGCCAUGCACAAAGCCCUUGACUUCAUUGAAUGUUUUUAAAAGAAAAUGCAGCUUCUGUGUGCAGCAAUAGGCUGAACAAGAUGAGGGCAAACAGGAAGGUUGCGACAUUAGUGUUCAAGAGUUGGCCAACAAAGAAGGUCACAAGCUGAAGCCAACAUCUUUACAAGGGAACAAAUGGAUUUAGCCUGAGCCAUUCCCUGUUCGACCAGCCAAGUCCCCUUGUCGAAACAUGUGCUCUAGCCUGAGGCGUACAUAUCCCAUUCUACCACUCUCGAUCAACGAUACACCAAAACAAUUAAGAACUCGUGGCAAGGUCGUAAAUUCACGUUUUAAGGGAAUGUAGUGUGCACCCUGCAAGGUAGCAUGAAUAGUAUGGCAUUUACUUGAAUGAAAUGCAGAUUUGCUUGCCAGUUACUUUAUCCCCAUGCUAUAAUUGGAAAGCAUGGUUCCUAAGAGAGAAUAAUGAUUUGAAGUUCACGCAGUUUUGCUCCUUUAUGUAAGUUCACACUGUUACGGUUGCUACACUACCAGUCCUGUUUGCAACUGCAUAGUAGUGUUCU